AACGAAUACUAUGUAUAUGGACAGGAUAGAAGAUACACACCAGAAGAAAGAAGAAGAAGAAGUUGUUUUGAGAAAUUUAUGAUCAGGCCUUUGCAGGCUGAUAAAUUUGUCAUUUAGAUUCUGAGAUGAGAGUUGCAUGGAAAUUAGCAAUGAAAGCAGAAAUUUUGGUGUCAAUAUGAGGAUCAGAAAACUUCCAUGGACCUUUACCAUCUUCAUCACUAGGAAACACCCUUCUUGUAUUAGAUGCAUCUUCAUAACUAUCAUCAACCCUUCGAGUUGGCCUCUUGGGCUUGAACAUAUUAAAGCCAAAGAAAGAAACAGACUUCCUGGUUUGCCUGCUAUUGCCACCCAUGAUAUAGAAAAUUUCUUGCAAUGAAAGCUUUAGCCAGCACACAAAGAGCUCUUUCUCUUAAGGGGUUUGUUGUGUCUUCUUUGUUGGGUAUAUGAGAUGGGAAGCAAGCAAGCUAUUCAAUUUAUAGUGGAGGCUCUGGAGGGUACCAUUUGAAGUUGGCGUUUAGAAUUAUUUUGAAGGUGGAUGUGAAUGGUGAGGAUGAA
rnacentral:misc_RNA from 1 species